rnacentral:rRNA from 1 species
GAAGGUCACACCCGUUCCCAUCCCGAACACGGUAGUUAAGCUUCUCCGCGCCAAUGGUAGUUGGGGGUUUCCCCCUGCGAGAGUAGGUCGCUGCCGGGC